AUGCACGCUGGCGGCGUGCCUAAUACAUGCAAGUCGAGCGAACGGACGAGAAGCUUGCUUCUCUGAUGUUAGCGGCGGACGGGUGAGUAACACGUGGAUAACCUACCUAUAAGACUGAGAUAACUUCGGGAAACCGGAGCUAAUACCGGAUGAUAUUUUGAACCGCAUGGUUCAAAAGUGAAAGACGGUCUUGCUGUCACUUAUAGAUGGAUCCGCGCUGCAUUAGCUAGUUGGUAAGGUAACGGCUUACCAAGGCAACGAUGCAUAGCCGACCUGAGAGGGUGAUCGGCCACACUGGAACUGAGACACGGUCCAGACUCCUACGGGAGGCAGCAGUAGGGAAUCUUCCGCAAUGGGCGAAAGCCUGACGGAGCAACGCCGAGUGAGUGAUGAAGGUCUUCGGAUCGUAAAACUCUGUUAUUAGGGAAGAACAUAUGUGUAAGUAACUGUGCACAUCUUGACGGUACCUAAUCAGAAAGCCACGGCUAACUACGUG
rnacentral:rRNA from 1 species